rnacentral:rRNA from 1 species
AGAGUUUGAUCAUGGCUCAGGAUGAACGCUAGCGACAGGCUUAACACAUGCAAGUCGAGGGGCAGCAUAAAAGUAGCAAUACUUGGUGGCGACCGGCGCACGGGUGAGUAACGCGUAUGCAACCUACCUAUCAGAGGGGAAUAACCCGGCGAAAGUCGGACUAAUACCGCAUAAAACAGGGGCACCGCAUGGUGAUAUUUGUUAAAGAAAUUCGCUGAUAGAUGGGCAUGCGUUCCAUUAGGUAGUUGGUGAGGUAACGGCUCACCAAGCCGACGAUGGAUAGGGGAACUGAGAGGUUGGUCCCCCACACUGGUACUGAGACACGGACCAGACUCCUACGGGAGGCAGCAGUGAGGAAUAUUGGUCAAUGGGCGGGAGCCUGAACCAGCCAAGUCGCGUGAAGGAAAGAAGGAUCUAUGGUUCGUAAACUUCUUUUGCAGGGGAAUAAAGUGCAGGACGUGUCCUGUUUUGUAUGUAUCCUGAGAAUAAGGAUCGGCUAACUCCGUGCCAGCCGCAGC